GCUGAUAUAGCCUUUCAGUUGGUAGAGCGCACCCCUGGUAAGGGUGACGGCAGUUCGAAUUCGCCUAUCAGCACCA
rnacentral:tRNA from 1 species